rnacentral:rRNA from 1 species
GACGAACCGUGCGAACGUUGUUCGGAUUCACUGGGCUUAAAAGGGUGCGUAGGCGGACUGAUAAGUCAGUGGUGAAAUCUCUUUGCUUAACAAAGAAACUGCCAUUGAUACUGUCGGUCUAGAGUAUAGAUGCGUGCGGAAUAUGACAUGUAGUGGUGAAAUACUUAGAUAUGUCAUAGAACACCGAUUGCGAAGGCAGCUAACGAAA